ensembl:misc_RNA Y_RNA Y RNA
GGCUGCUCUAAUGAUAGUGGAUUAUCAGAACUUAUUAACAGUAGCGUCAUUAAAAUUGGUAUAUAACUCCCCACUGCUAAAUUUGACUAACUUAAA